UACGGAGGGUGCGAGCGUUGUCCGGAAUCAUUGGGCGUAAAGGGCGCGUAGGUGGCGGGACAAGCGUGCGGUGAAAGCUCGGGGCUCAACCCGAGUCGGCCGUGCGAACUGUCUUGCUUGAGCACUGUAGAGGCAGGCGGAAUUCCGGGUGUAGCGGUGGAAUGCGUAGAGAUCCGGAAGAACACCGGUGGCGAAAGCGGCGACACUGGGACCUCUUCUGACGCUGAGG
rnacentral:rRNA from 1 species